rnacentral:rRNA from 1 species
AUUGAACGCUGGCGGCAUGCCUUACACAUGCAAGUCGAACGGCAGCACGGGAGCAAUCCUGGUGGCGAGUGGCGAACGGGUGAGUAAUACAUCGGAACGUGCCCAGUAGUGGGGGAUAGCCCGGCGAAAGCCGGAUUAAUACCGCAUGAGACCUGAGGGUGAAAGCGGGGGGUCGCAAGACCUCGCGCUAUUGGAGCGGCCGAUGUCAGAUUAGCUAGUUGGUAGGGUAAAGGCCUACCAAGGCAACGAUCUGUAGUUGGUCUGAGAGGACGACCAGCCACACUGGGACGGAGACACGGCCCAGACUCCUACGGGAGGCAGCAGCGGGGAAUUGUGGGCAAUGGGCGCAAGCCUGAUCCAGCAAUGCCGCGUGCAGGAAGAAGGCCUUCGGGUUGUAAACUGCUUUUGUCAGGGAAGAAAUCUUCUGGGCUAAUACCCUGGGAGGAUGACGGUACCUGAAGAAUAAGCACCGGCUAACUACGUGCCAGCAGCCGCCGCGGUAA